GCGAGGAGGAGGGCGUGGCCGGGCCGUGAGGAUGCUCCACAAAAACACGCUUGAGGGGUGACAUGAUGUUCUGGAUACACGCGCAAAUACACUGUUGUCAGCGGUUCACGUUAGAAGCCGCCGGGGUCGAGACAGCAAACAUUUUCGAAAUGGGGCCCCGGCUUGGUCGGAUGCUUGGGGCCUCAGAAAUCGUAAACCCGCCCCUGCUCCUGGGUUUCGGCACACUGUGUGACGAGGAGGAGGGCGUUGCCAGGCCGUGAUGAUGCAUGGCCAGCGCUGAAUCAGCUGAUCAGUGGGAGAGCGAGAUAAAGGGGAGCCGGAGGCGCCAGUUCGAGAGGGAGAGAGACGCAUGCGGCCGCAUUGCAUGUGUGCCUGUGUUUAUGUUGUUAAACAUAAGAGUUUCCUAUUAAACUUUAUUUUUACUGUU